rnacentral:lncRNA from 1 species
GGUACUCAUUUCCACUAUACUAUAACCUGGUUUUGCUAUGGAAUUGUAUCAUCAUUUCAGAAAGAAUUUAUGCCGACAACUCAUGCGCUUAAUUGAAAAUAUGCUCAUAGACCUCCUCGUACUUUUUGAGUCACAAAACAUCAGCAGGCUCUCUCAUACAGAAGGAGGAGAAAACAGAGUGAAGGAUCUAAAACCUGAAAAGAGGCCAAAUGAUUCCUCAAAACCACGCAAGUACGAAGUAGCAGAGCGGAUCUCAAAUCCAGAGCACUGCGUGUUUUGAAAUAUACAAAUAGUGGGAAACGAAAUCUUUGUUCUGGAUGCAGUUAUAAUUUGGAAAGCGAGGAAAUAAAUUAUAACAAGGGGAAAAAACAGAAUACUACUAAAGUCAUGCCGUGUGACUUCUGAAGCUAGCUCCUAAGAAGUCCUUGCAGCUUCUGCCUGCGACUCUUAGAACACUUGCUUUGAAGGAUGCCAGAUGCUGUCUUAAAAGUCUGAGCACUCUGAAACCAUCAUGCUGUGAGGAAGCCCAAGCUAACCACAUGGGCAAAAAAGAUGCCCUCUGACUGCCACCAUUUGAGACACUCUAAUUAAGAACUGCCUCAUUGAGCCCAUGAGGCCCUGUGAAUGAUAAUAAUAAAUUGUUUUUAACCACUAUGUUUUUGGAUUUGUUAUAAGUUUAUAGAUAACAAGAAAAAGUUAUAUUAGCAUGGUAAUAAAAUUAUGGAUAUGUGUAA